CGCACGGCUCCUCUUCAUUUUAACUCUGCGGUCUCAGCUUCUGCUUUAUUUCUUUCGGUCGAAGUCCAGCCCAGCAAAGCCUCCUCCGCGUGUCUUCCUCAACUCCACGAACGCCCUGCUUCACUAGCUCUUGUCGCCCACCAACAAUCCGCACGCCCGUGUCCCUCCUGCUUUGGCCACGUCUACAGCAACUGGUCAUCAAUUUCUCCACGAAGACCCAAGCUACUGAAGCGUUGAAGAAACCCUGCAACGCCAACGAAGAUCCCUGCAGCAGUUCCACCGAAUUCUCCCUGCCAGCAAAGCCCAUUUUCGUUUGUCUUUGUUUCCACCGAAGCUGAUCCUGCCGAGCUUGCUGCCACUUGGCCGUGUGUACGUCUGGUUCGGUCAACAACAGCUUCAAUUGAAGCUCUCGGUUGACCGCUUAAAGCCCACGAUUCCACCGAGUUGGUCGGCCACUCACGCCACACCAACAGAGAAGCCGCAGGAACGGAGGCAGUCAACCACGCCAUCCACCGAAGACCAAGACUCCCUCACGCUGCCAGGCGUCCGCCAUCGUCCACGAGCGGCUUCCGUCUUCAGUCUUCUCCAGCGGCGUGCCCUCAGCCCUCACGAAAUUGUCGAGGCCCAUCUCACCAGCAACGGCCCAGCGAAGCCAGCGAAAUCUGCAAGCUUGAGUCAGUCCAAAUUCAGCCCUGCAGAAAUUCAAGUCAGCGACUCCUUCGCUGGAUUCCUCUUGCGGGCAGCCCAGCAGCUCAAUUGAGGCCCAAGUGAAUUCGCAAGCCCAGUUUUUGAGGCCCAAAAAUCUAGCAACUCCAUUAAGCCCAAUCGCAGCUAGACCCAAGUCCAAGAGCAAGCCCAUUCCAGUGCAAGGACAAAUCUCAUUUGGGCUGAGAUUUGUUGGGUCAAACUUAAGGCCCGGUCCAAGCCUGCCGGUGUUGUCGAAAGUCCAAUUUCGGCCGCCGUCACGUCGCCGUCGCGGUGAUUCGAUCUCCGCUGUUGUCAACACAAACCCAAGGUAGAGAGUUGAUGGACGCAAUUUGGCGAAGUGCAUUCCAGAACAAUUUUCAAGAUUGGAAUGACGCUGGUGCAUGUAAGCAAGGAAAUAUGAGACUGCCGGAACAUAGCCAGUCCUCCAGCAAGUCCUAUAGGAUUAAUGAAGUGAGAAUUUGGGAAUUUCAGACGACGCUGAAGAAGAAUUAGAACAGCCUCUGUGUUCUUCGUCUCCAUAAAAAAAACCAGGUUCUGAAUGCCUUGCUGAUGGACAGGUGAGGGAGGAAGUGCUACCUUUAUGGAAGACAUCGAGGAAGUGCUUACUGGAAGGAUUGGAGGAAACAGAGCAGCCGUAUUAGAUUGAAGUGACGUUCUGUGAUGGUGCUGAUCAUCGGUAUCCCUAUCCUUAAUAGUUAGUGGAAGUUCAGUGACUCCUUUCAUCUUUUGUGCCGCAGGUAUAAUAGCACUAGUCGAGGGAGACGCAGAUUGUUGACCUUCAGGACAGAGAUGCAGGAGGAGUUUCAGGAAUCACUUCUUCAGUAUCUUCAGAAUCAAUAUUCAUCCCGUAACAGCUGUUCCGUCGGAGGAGGUUCAUCCCAGACGUCAAUUUCAUAUUCAGACCACAGACGUCCCAUUCUGCUACCGAGGGCAGCCAGACGCGAUUCUUCACUCAGAUGAUGGGAAUCCAUAACUUGAUUGCGAAGCUAACGGCUGAAUUAGGUCAGAAGGGGCUCGGACAUGAUGAGGCGAUGGCAGAAAAAACUGUAUAAAGAGAAGAAAAAGGGAAAGGUUUGGGCAGAGAACAUAGGAUGAGUAGGGAAUUGAGAAUGCAUGGACGUUCGCUUGUGUAAAUGAUGCUGAAUUGGGGAUUCAAACGAACAAUGGUUGGAAUCGGAACUUCAAAGGAGAUGAAGAAGCUAAAGACUAAACGAAGAGAAGAGAGAUGUAGAGCAAGCGGUCGCUAAGUUCAAUCCAUCGGUAAUGGAGGAAAUACCAGAAGGGUUAAGGAUUAACAGUGAGGGUUUGAGAUGAAAACUACCAUUAAUGGUAGAGAUAAGCUCUGCAUGUCGAGAGAGUUUUUGGUGACACAACAAGACUUCAUUGUCUCUAAUAUUUCAGACCACGUAAUAUGUUCUCAUGGCUCGGUGGUGAUCAAGCUUGGUCGACAGCAAGAGAGUCGACGGUGGCCUAAUCAGUGACAGCAAUGCAGAGCGAUUUGACAAUGUCCGAAGUGGCGACAACAGCGAUGAUUAUAUCACGACUUAUUAACAUGCAAAAAUAUAGCUUUCUCUUGAUUUUCUGUUAAAUACCAAAGUAACCACACAUUUUAAUUAAUAGAUGCGAGAUUUUCACAGAAUCUUGUAAUUUGAAAGGUCCUCCACAUGUAUGCAAGUUUUUCUUAU